AUACGGAGGGUGCGAGCGUUGUUCGGAAUAACUGGGCGUAAAGGGCGCGUAGGCGGCUGUGCAAGUCCAAUGUGAAAGUCCGGAGCUCAACUCUGGGAUUGCGUUGGAAACUGUGCGGCUUGAGUCCCGGAGGGGAUGGCGGAAUUCCCGGUGUAGAGGUGAAAUUCGUAGAUAUCGGGAGGAACACCGGUGGCGAAGGCGGCCAUCUGGACGGGUACUGACGCUGAUGCGCGAAAGCGUGGGUAGCAAACAGGAUUAGAUACCCCAGUAGUCC
rnacentral:rRNA from 1 species